UACGAAGGGGGCUAGCGUUGCUCGGAAUCACUGGGCGUAAAGCGCACGUAGGCGGCUUCUUAAGUCAGGGGUGAAAUCCUGGAGCUCAACUCCAGAACUGCCUUUGAUACUGAGAGGCUUGAGUCCGGGAGAGGUGAGUGGAACUGCGAGUGUAGAGGUGAAAUUCGUAGAUAUUCGCGAGAACACCAGUGGCGAAGGCGACUCACUGGCCCGGUACUGACGCUGAGGUGCGAAAGCGUGGGGAGCAAACAGG
rnacentral:rRNA from 1 species